UAGGGAAUCUUCCACAAUGGACGCAAGUCUGAUGGAGCAACGCCGCGUGAGUGAAGAAGGUUUUCGGAUCGUAAAGCUCUGUUGUUGGUGAAGAAGGAUAGAGGCAGUAACUGGUCUUUAUUUGACGGUAAUCAACCAGAAAGUCACGGCUAACUACGUGCCAGCAGCCGCGGUAAUACGUAGGUGGCAAGCGUGGUCCGGAUUUAUUGGGCGUAAAGCGAGCGCAGGCGGAAUGAUAAGUCUGAUGUGAAAGCCCACGGCUCAACCGUGGAACUGCAUCGGAAACUGUAAUUCUUGAGUGCAGAAGAGGAGAGUGGAAUUCCAUGUGUAGCGGUGGAAUGCGUAGAUAUAUGGAAGAGCACCAGUGGCGAAGGCGGCUCUCUGGUCUGCAACUGACGCUGAGGCUCGAAAGCAUGGGUAGCGAACAGG
rnacentral:rRNA from 1 species